rnacentral:sRNA from 1 species
AAGGCUCAUCAAAUAAUAGAUCCAACUACAGAUACCUAUAGCGGGCAUAUCUAUUUCUUG